GACGAACGCUGGCGGCGUGCCUAAUACAUGCAAGUAGAACGCUGAAGGAGGAGCUUGCUUCUCUGGAUGAGUUGCGAACGGGUGAGUAACGCGUAGGUAACCUGCCUGGUAGCGGGGGAUAACUAUUGGAAACGAUAGCUAAUACCGCAUAAGAGUAGAUGUUGCAUGACAUUUGCUUAAAAGGUGCAAUUGCAUCACUACCAGAUGGACCUGCGUUGUAUUAGCUAGUUGGUGAGGUAACGGCUCACCAAGGCAACGAUACAUAGCCGACCUGAGAGGGUGGUCGGCCACACUGGGACUGAGACACGGCCCAGACUCCUACGGGAGGCAGCAGUAGGGAAUCUUCGGCAAUGGACGGAAGUCUGACCGAGCAACGCCGCGUGAGUGAAGAAGGUUUUCGGAUCGUAAAGCUCUGUUGUAAGAGAAGAACGAGUGUGAGAGUGGAAAGUUCACACUGUGACGGUAUCUUACCAGAAAGGGACGGCUAACUACGUG
rnacentral:rRNA from 1 species